AAUCCAACAACUCAAUCUGAAUCCCCAUCCUCUCUCCUCUUCCGCGAUGAGGAAGGCGGGGACGCGCCGGAGCCUUGAGGAGCGGACAGUGCCGGAAUUACAGGAGGACGUCGCGGCCCUCGCCGUGUAUCGCGCCGCCGGAUGAGGGCGCGCUGCAGUGGCAUUGGACGGGUCGUCCGCCGCUGUAGGGCUAGGUCUCCUAUCUCGACCCUGCCAAGAUCGAGAAGGUGUGCGUUCUGUCCCCUCCACCAUUCUCUCUCACACAACUAGAAUUCGAUCUUCGAGGAUGAACCAGAUUAUCUCCAAAAUGCCUUCGGCGGGAUGGGUCGUCGUACGCGGUGGUUCCUGUUUCGUUCCUGUAACAGGCUGGGGAUGUGUUUAGUUGUAAAUUGAGUCAGAUUGGUGUGAUCAUGGGUUUCAUAUGGCAAAGUGACUAUCUGGUUUGGGUUAGCUGUGGAGAGUGGUGGCUCCUGUAUCUUUUGCUUACGCGAUGUUGCUAUUGCUCGCUUUUCAGUCGCGGUGUCAUUUGGCUAGGUGAUGCAUCCAUGGCGUGCCCGUGGGCGGGUGUGGCAUGCGCUAUUCCGUGUGGCCUGUGCUUUGGCUGGAAGGGAUUUGCAUGGUGUUUCCUCAGCGUGCUUCUCUUGGGAUUCUGUUUCGGUUGUUAAGUUUGUUCAGGUGAGUUUGUUUCAGAUGAAAAGCUGGUAGCGCCCACAGGGUCAUCGUUGUCUGGUAGCCUGGUGUAAUGUUUGAUGCAUGCUCAAGUUUUGUUUUCAGUUGUGUUUUUUUUCAGCUGGGUACCUUUGCUUGUGUUUGACAGCUUGUUUGUGCGCUAUGUCUUGUGGCAUUGGAGUGGAUGCAUCUGUCCCAACACCUUGCUCUAUCCUCUGAAAUAUUGUUGUAACCCCAAGUAUAGGGAUCUCCAAAAGCUAGCUGUUUAAUUGAGGAUUCAAUUCCAUAUCAUGACUACACCUACAAAAGCUAGCAGCUUAUGCAAGUUUUGGGAAACCUCUGCCCGGCUAUCCUUCUAUCGAAAUCUGGGUGGAAUGAGAAACCCAUCCUUGUUUAUAUCCAGAAAGUAAGAGGAAACAUUAAGUGUUGGGAGCUUAAUUUAGUGUUUUCUCUUAGGUUUCUAUUUGGAUAAGUAAAAAUGUAAAAUGAGCGUUUCUUCAAUGUAUCUAUCACACAUUGUUGUUGGUUGUCGGGUGAGCGCUUAAUUUAGCGCUUCUUCACUGAUAUGGAUAGUCACACCUCACACGUUAGGCAAAAUGGUGUAGUGGUUGGGCCAGGUAGCUUGCAGCUAAUGGUUUCAGAACAGUAGUUCUUGAGGGGCACUUAAUUAUUAAUAUCUAAACCUAUAUAUUGUUUGCAACCUUUGUUUAAUUUCCGUGGUAUAGUUAGGUGUCAUAUGGGAGCAGUAAUAAAGAAAUGGGAGUAGCUACCUAAUAUAAUUUCAUUAACUUAUUUGAAGUUCUCAACCAUUCUUUCGUGUCUUUGCUAGCCGCAAAUCAAUAGUUCAACAUUUGCCGAACAGCCGCAGUUUUUUUUUUUUUUUUUGUAGAAUGCUAGAGAUGGAAAAAAAUUAUAUUGUUUUUGUAGUUAUGGGAGUAAAGAAGGAUUUCUCAUGCAUACUUUUGAGGUAGCGUUUCAAUGCAGAGAGUGGCCUUACUAAUCUGGUACAUUUGCAUGCCUGACAAAGGCCACGGUAUGGAUGCUUUCCCGGUGAUGCAGUUCAUUCAGCACUGUUUUGAGGCACUGAAAGAGAAAACUUUGAAAGGACUACAGUAUUUUGAAACAGUGAUAAGGAUUACAACCGCAAGAUACGUGCCGAGCAUGUUUCACUGUGAUUUUGGUAAUUCAAAAUAGUUUGCAAGACAAGCUUAGUUCAAAAUUCAGUCCGGCUGCCGUCAUAAUUCUUUUCAUGUAAGCAUCUUUUGCCUAAGGUAAUUCUCUAGCUUAGUUCAGUGAUAGUCUAGCUUUCAUGAUAUUUUUUCUUUAAUCAUCUUUACCUGUCUGCAAAGUGCUAAGCCUAACUAUUGUAUUUGCUUUUUCACGCAAAACCAAGUGUAAAGUAUGUGAGCAAUAUGGUUGGAGCAUUUACCUUUCUCGGCCGAUUGUCCGUCGAUUUGUUGUAUCACAGAUGGAUGUGGCAUGAUGCUGUGUGAGGUAGGCGUAGAUCAUCUAAGCGGACCUGGAAUCGGAACUAAUGGUGCGCUCUACUUCUCCACAUGGUUUGGGUGCAUGUACCAUGUUGUUAGAGCAUCCAUGGCGCAAGGCGUUUACCUGAACCAGGGAAAGCAAGAUAGCGUUGGGUGCCAUCUUUUUUUUGCAUCGAUCGGCAUUGAAGGCAUUGAUGUUGCGGCUGCUCUUAGAGGCUUGUGAUAGUUUACUUGUUCACACGUUGCAUGUGCAAUGAAUCGAGAGAGUUGGUUGCUAUGCUGGGCUACCAUGAUGUCGAUCGCUAACUCAUGUCA